UACGGAGGAUGCAAGCGUUAUCCGGAAUGAUUAGGCGUAAAGCGUCCGCAGGUGGCUGUGUAAGUCUGCUGUUAAAGAGUGAGGCUCAACCUCAUAAAAGCAGUGGAAACUACACGGCUAGAGUGCGUUCGGGGCAGAGGGAAUUCCUGGUGUAGCGGUGAAAUGCGUAGAUAUCAGGAAGAACACCGGUGGCGAAAGCGCUCUGCUAGGCCGCAACUGACACUGAGGGACGAAAGCUAGGGGAGCGAAUGGG
rnacentral:rRNA from 1 species